UUCAGUGCUGGUUUUACUGUUGUCGUAAAAACAGAUUUGAAUGGAAAUCUUAUGAGAUACUUAUGUGCCAAAGACAGGACAGAAAUGUACAGAUGGGUAGCGGCCAUAUUGAAUAUGAAGCAUCCAGAAGGUAUAUGGACAGACCCUAUCGCUGCAGCAGAGUUGAAGACACGAAGGGUAAGAGCUUGUUGAAAUCUGAGAAACUAAUGACGACAAAUCGCAAAAUAGACGCAACAGAACAACAGCAAAACAUCAACCAAAAAAUAAAGUGACGUUUUGG